rnacentral:lncRNA from 7 species
UUUUGGGUCUGAGUAGCACGGAGGCGCUAAGGGUAUAAAUAGAUCUUUUCAGUGAAAGUUUUGGUUUUGGUAGUUAAUGGAUUUGCUGUGUGGAUGGGCAUAUUAGUUCAAGUAUUGUAAUAGUUGUAUUGUACAAGCUAGAGGAGACGAAAGCAUCUUUACCUAUGGGAUCCCAGUUAUGUCUUCUGAGUAGCUAAUGCAACAAACUCAGGGUUAGGAAGAACAGCCCAUGUGCUAAUGAAAUGGACUACGUUCCUCUGUAGAGAAGAGGACUUUACCUGUGGAUGAUGUGGUGGAAAGAUCAGGUGAAGCUGAAAUCCAUGGAAGUGUCAAAAAAGAGUGAAUGUGACAGAAGUGAGACUGAGAUGCAAUUAGACAUUCUUCUUGGGGAACAAACAUGGAGAACCUAUAUGCAAGUGGUUACUUCAGUCAAAUAAUCUGUUCAGAGAUGUGUACAAAUGAGAACAUAGGAGUGGAUCAUGAAUAGCAAAGCUGGCUUCAGGCAAAUGGUGAUCUGGCUUUCCAAGGAAAAGAAACUCAACUCCAAAGAAGUCCAUGUUCCUUGUGCAUUCUGGUGUAGGAGCAUUAAGAUCUUCACUGAAGUUCUUUUCAGUGAUCAUUGCUGAGCAAAUCUGAAAUUAACAAGUGGAACGGCCUCACCAAUUAUGUUAUAUAAGAAAAAGUUGAGCAGAGCAUAUAAAGCUAACUUGUGUGAAAUGAAAACAUUCGGUCUCUUCUGGAAGAAAAAAGAUCUCUUUCAGAGGGGUGGGAAAAGUUGUUUGGUCAUGUACUUUUUUCUGGACCUUGGAGAUUGAGCCACUUAGUUUAUUUUUAAAUCUGCAUUUACAAAUAUCUCACUGUCCUUGCUACAAAGAAAUAUUUGUGCAUCUUUGGAGAACAACAGAUAAGCAUGAAAAUAUCCUCCAAGACAAAGCAGAUGCAAAGCAUCCUUUCUCAGGCUACUGUAAAACUGUGGGUGACUUGAGUAUAUAUUUUUUUCCUGUUGUGUUUUUUCCUUGUGUGAGCUAUUUGUUCCUUGCCUUCUGAGUAACCAGAAUGAAUGACAAGCAAGGGAUAGUGGAACUUCUCCUUUUGAGCUUUUGUACCCUUGCAGACUCUACUUGUAGUAGAUGUUCAUUUAGGAAGGAUGUAAGGGGCAACUUGUUCUUAAAGUUGUGUAAUCUUACUGUUGUAUGUGAACUUCUCACAGCAAAGAGUUUCACCUAUUGCCUUGGAAAUGCAGAACAAUUUCAAGUUUUAUCUCCUAUCUCCUGUUUAUCACUUCUAGAUCAAUGCUUUUUGAUUUUUCCAGAACCACUUGUAAAACACAAAACAAACAUUUUAAAAAAUAAAGUUUAUCUGUAAUUAAAAAAAAACAACAAAAAACACGAAGUAAUUCCGGAUUGUAUCUUUGUACAGUCACAUUUUGCAUAUCAUUUUUUGGUUAAAAAAAAAAAAGCAGGCACUGUAGCAUAUGAGCAUGCAGUUGUGACCAUGAGAACUUCACAGUGCUUGCUUACAAAAUUAGCAGAGAAGUGAGUAGAGGGCAUCUGUUUUGCAAGGCUGCGUAAUUCAGUUGUGGAGCUUCUUGUCAUGGGAUUGUGCAAAGUAUAUUUUGAGAUAUAUCUAACAGUGGAAGAUAGAGAUACUGUUAGCUCUGGUGUCUGGGAUGAAAAGAAUACAUACUUCUGGAAAUGAUG